ACAAACACUCUCUAAUCUCUCCAAAAUCACUCUCAAAACUCUUGCAAAUCAGAAAUUCGGGCAGAUUCAUACCCCUUCACGAAAAUGAGCAUAACUCACUCAAUUCUUAUCCGAUUCACUCGAUUCUUUUUCCUACUUGCUUGUAUAAUCAUGGGGUUCGAUUCCUAGACUUCUCCUUGGAGAAAUCAGACCUGGAAAUGCCCCGAAAUCGUCCAUAAACUUUCUGUUUGUUUUUAUGUUCAUCAAAAACUUGUUUAAACCUAUGUAACUUGUGUUCAACACAUCUCAUACCUAUGUCCUAAUGCUUACAACUUAUCCCAUGGUUGGUUAAGCUUAAAAACAAGGUUGAGACAUUUAAAAUCAGAGGAUUAAACCUCAUAAACUUGGUGUUUUGUUUAGGGUUUCAACCCACAAAUCAUGUCAAACAUAGCCUUUGAUACAUGAGUGAUUAUGGAACAACUUGGGUUGUCCUACAUACAAUCCUCACAUGAUUCGAUGAUUUCUCAAUAGUUAGGUUGUUUAUGUUAUUGUGCAAAUCCUAGUUCGUGACCCUCCUUGGUUGUUGUUACACCAAGUGAAGUGGUGAACAUUCAAGGGGUUCCUAAAUGGAAGCAUGUCCUUCCUACCCCAUACAUGACAUCUAUGAUAACACGAGGUGCCUAAAUGAAGAUUCUAAUCUUCUACCUCCUACUUGAAUUAUUGGACUAAAUAAUAUGUAGUACUUAACCUAGAUAUAUAUAUACACUCAUUCGAACCUUUAAUGUUGAACUCAUGUUUAUAUGUUAAAGUAGUAGAACAUCACCUAAGACCUAAACCUUGUUGUGAUUCUUAUGGGUGUUCAAUUCAUGAAAAUAUUAUCAUAACCAUUGUGGUUACCAAGUGUCAUACAAGUGUUAUGGGUUGAAGAUGAUUACUUUCACAUGCUAUUCUCAUAUCUUACUUUUAUGUUGUUUUUAAAUACCGAAUCUCGACUCUAAGCAUACAUGAACUUUAACCCUACACAUUCAACCUUCUAACCUCAUCAACUUGUCAACAAUUGGAUAAUCGGAAAACAUAUGCAAACUUUGUGCAUGUUGACGAUGCAUGGAAUCUAGUAGGAUGCUUAGAUACACACUUAGAAAGAAUUGUAUUUGUAUUGUAUCAUUUUAUUAUUCAUGUUGUUGUACCUUGUUUCAAAACCUUGUACUUGAUUCUUUAGAAAUGAAAUGAAAUGAUUAUU
rnacentral:lncRNA from 1 species